GUGAAUCAUCAAAUUUUUGAACGCAAAUUGCACUUUCUGGUAUUCCGAAAAGUAUGCCUGUUUGAGUGUCAGUUAAAUAAAAAUCGGUGUUGUUUCUGCUUUUCGUGGGGACGCGUCGGAAUUGAAUUGUCUUACCUUCGUUUAAGUGACUUAAAAUUUUUCAUUAGUUUCGAACGUGUUGAAGGUUCUUACGUACGUUUGAAAUAUCGAAUACUUUAUUAGGUUCUGUGAUCCUCAUGAUUCGCACCUAUAAUUUUUCAUUAAAUUACCUCAAUUUAGGUGAUAAUACCGGCUG
rnacentral:misc_RNA from 1 species